UCCAACUGCGGUUGGAAGGGCUGUCGGCUGAUGAUGAUGACGACAGCAGGUGCUCUGUUCUGCCAGUCAACCACAGAGGGCCAAUAAACCUGUGAGCAAGGAGAUGAGAGGAGAUACAAAUUUACAAUGAUCGAUGGAGAGGUCUAAUGGCAUAUUUAUGAUCUUGGCACUUAUUUGUGGACCGGAAAUAAACGGGGGUAGAGCUUGCUUGUGUAUGUUUACCUCAUUUCAUUUCUUUCGAAAAUUCUUCCAUUUAUGUUUAUUUUGA
ensembl:ncRNA T14G12.10 ncRNA